rnacentral:lncRNA from 1 species
AAAAAAAACAAAACCAAAAUAUUACCCUGUUACUUUUGAGUGAUGGAGUGAUCCUGCCAUCCUUUUUUCCCUGGGUUUCCCAUAAUGGAGUCUGCUAAGAACUGACACAAUCAAGAGCCUAAUUUACAGAUCAGUGUGGGCUGAUGCACAGAGAGAGGCGUCUCCUGUUUCAGUGUCAGCAGAUGUUGUUUUGAUGUCACACCAGCCAUGCUGCAUCACCCCCCUGGAGACAGCCAGAGGUUGGCAGCAUCCAGCAGAGGAUUCUCCUGGGAAAUCUGCCUCAGCAUUGCCCCACAGUGCAGCUGCAGAACAUCUGGCCUCUGCCAUUCCCCACUGAACCAAGGGAACCCUGAUAUUGCAGGCACAGGCUUAGGAGAAGCAAACUCUGGAUAAGCAAUUACUCUCAGCAAAAAUAUUUGGUACUGUU